UUAGACCAUGAGGGAAUUGGAAAGUGCACAGAUGUACAAAGCCUGGGCUACUGAGUCACUAUUUGGUGCUUUUAUGUACUUGGUGCAUUACUGCUAGUCCCCAUGGAUAAUAAAUA
rfam:Homo sapiens chromosome 2, GRCh38 reference primary assembly.